UACAGAGGGGGCAAGCGUUGUUCGGAAUUACUGGGCGUAAAGGGCGCGUAGGCGGCCUUCUAAGUCGAACGUGAAAUCCCCGGGCUCAACCCGGGAACUGCGUCCGAUACUGGAAGGCUUGAAUCCGGGAGAGGGAUGCGGAAUUCCAGGUGUGCGGUGAAAAUGCGUAGAUAUCUGGAGGAACACCGGUGGCGAAGGCGGCAUCC
rnacentral:rRNA from 1 species